ensembl:lncRNA
GGUUGGGUUCCGCACAGUCCGCCCGGGGGAUUCAACCCGACGGUCCCCGGCCGUCCCCGCCGGCGGCGCGUGCCCCCUCCACCCUCUCCGCGUCCCUCCCGGGACGUCGGCGCGGGCGGGGGCCGCCCGCCGGCCGGGGUCCCACGGCCGCCGUCGGGCGCAUUUCCUCCGCGGCGGUGCGCCGCGACCGGCUCCGGUUCGGCUUGGAAGGGUCCGGGGGCGAAGGUGGCUCGUGGCUCCGGCCCCGAGCUUUACAGCGCCCCCCCGCCCCGACUUCGCCGCUUACCCCGGGGCCGCGGGCGAGCUACCUCCGCGCCUUUCCCGGCCCCCCGUCCUCAACCCCCCCUCUCCGGGGGGGGGGGGCGGGCGGGGGCGCGCGGGACGGGGCCCCUCCGCCCCCGACGCGGCUGUCGACCGGGCCGGACUGUCCUCAGUCCGCCGCCCGACCGCGCCGCGCCGCCAGGGCGGGGACCGGCCCACGACACCAAGGGCGCUCGGGGUCCGCGGCGAUGCCGGCCACCCAACCGACCCGUCUUGAAACACGGACCAAGGAGUCUAACGCGCGCGCGAGUCAGAGGGCUCGGCACGAAACCCCACGGCGCAAUGAAAGUGGAGGCCGGCGCGCGCCGGCCUAGGUGGGAUCCGCGCGCCCCGGCGCGCGGCGCACCACCGGCCCGCCUCUACCGCCCCGUCGGUGAGGUGGAGCCAGAGCGCGCGCGAUGGUACCCGAAAGAUGGUGAACUAUGCCCGGGCAGGGCGAAGCCAGAGGAAACUCUGGUGGAGGCCCGCAGCGGUCCUGACGUGCAAAUCGGUCGUCCGACCUGGGUAUAGGGGCGAAAGACUAAUCGAACCAUCUAGUAGCUGGUUCCCUCCGAAUUUCCCUCAGGAUAGCUGGCACUCGUAAACGGUUGGGUUCCGCA